rnacentral:rRNA from 1 species
CCCUUAGAUGUCCUGGGCCGCACGCGCGCUACACUGAGUGUCUGAGAUACGAGUCAGCCUGGUCCGGCAAGGUCUAGGUAAUCGCUAAAAGACACAUCAUGCUUGGGAUAGAUUAUUGCAAAUAUUAAUCUUGAACGAGGAAUUCCUAGUAAGCGCAAGUCAACAGCUUGCGUUGAUUACGUCCCUGCCCUUUGUACACACCGCCCGUCGCUACUACUGAUUGGAUGUUUAAGCGAGGUUCUCGAACUGCUAGCGACUUAGCUUCGGUGAGGUCGCAGUGUGGGAAGUGAACCUAGCUUUGGUGUCUAGAGGAAGUAAAAGUCGUAACA